UAAACACUCCCUGCAUCCCAAAAUUCUUGUCUUAGAUUCGUCUAGAUACGGAUGCAUCUAAUACUAAAACAUAACUUGAUACAUCUGUAUAGACAAAUCUAAGACAAGAAUUUUGGGACGAAGGGAGUAUAAG
rfam:Triticum aestivum genome assembly, contig: Triticum_aestivum_CS42_TGACv1_scaffold_222009_3B